rnacentral:rRNA from 1 species
CGGAGGGUGCAAGCGUUAUCCGGAUUCACUGGGUUUAAAGGGAGCGCAGGCGGACCUGUAAGUCAGUGGUGAAAUACCUGAGCUUAACUCGGGAACUGCCAUUGAUACUAUCGGUCUUGAAUGUUGUUGAGGUUUGCGGAAUGGGUCAUGUAGCGGUGAAAUGCAUAGAUAUGACCCGGAACACCUAUUGCGAAGGCAGCAGGCUAAACAAAUAUUGACGCUGAGGCUCGAAAGCGUGGGGAUCAAACAGGAUUAGAUACCCUGGUAGUCCACGCCCUAAACGAUGAUUACUCGACAUACGCGAUACACUGUGUGUGUCUGAGCGAAAGCAUUAAGUAAUCCACCUGGGAAGUACGACCGCAAGGUUG